ACCGGUCGCGCGGAUUCGAUGACGCGCGCGCACGCACACCUGACUCUUUUCUUAUCGAUUUCGCUUACUAUGUGACGUUUAUGCUCUCAUAUCUCUGUGUGCGUUUGCGCUUCUGUUUUACCUUCGUCUGCGCGUCCUUUCCCACCCCAUCUCGCCAGCUGUCUGCUGAGUGUAACACAAUCGUGACGCUCCAAGUAGCCCCCCUUCUCCCAACAAAGAACAAACAAAACGCACGGGAAAACGCGAGCCGGAAAUCCCCACCAACACGGUCCCCACCCCCAGUCGUACGCCAGCAUCGCUUCUGUUUCCUUCCUCAAUUUUGCUGCUCCCCUUUGUGCCCGUAAGCUUCGGUGUGUGCGCGUCUCUGCGUGCGCGUUUUCAACGUAUAUCUCCUCUGGGGAGGGGUCAGACAUCGUCGCGAGACGUCAAGGUUCCUUUUGGGGAAGCCCCCGAAGGCAGGGCAUCCCUACCACUUCUGAGGUGCCUGCUUCGCAUUGCAUUCCGCCGUCGAGGCAAGACUUUCUCUCGAACACGUCAUUGGCAUUCGAACGUGUACCUUUGCUCGACGCUGUCGUGGCGCACCUGCAAAGCAAACUUACGACACACCUUCGCUGACGAAUCGCAAGAGGACGGCUUGCAGAAACCAACGUUUUUUUUUUUCUUUUCAAAGACCGUUUCAGGGCUCUCUCUCCACCCCUUCCGUCUCCCAUCUGUUUGACACAG
rnacentral:misc_RNA from 1 species